GAAUUCUUGGUGUAGCAGUGAAAUGCGUGGAUAUCAAGAGGAACACUCGUGGCGNNNNCGAGCUACUGGACAACUNNUGACGCUGAGGCUCGAAGGCCAGGGUAGCGAAAGGGAUUAGAUACCCCUGUAGUCCUGGCAGUAAGCGGUGCACGCUUGGUGUGAGGGGAAUCGACCCCCCUUGUGCCGGAGCAAACGCGUUAAGCGUGCCGCCUGGGAAGUACGGUCGCAAGACUAAAACUCAAAGAAAUUGACGGGGACCCGCACAAGCGGUGGAGUAUGUGGCUUAAUUCGAUGCAACGCGAAGAACCUUACCAAGGCUUGACAUGGAUUUCUAAGCACGUGAAAGCGUGUGACCCUUCGGGGAACUUCCACAGGUGCUGCAUGGCCGUCGUCAGCUCGUGUCGUGAGAUGUUGGGUUAAGUCCCGCAACGAGCGCAACCCUUGUGACUAGUUGCCAGCGCGUAAUGGCGGGAACUCUAGUCAGACUGCCCAGAUCAACUGGGAGGAAGGUGGGGACGACGUCAGGUCAGUAUGGCCCUUACGCCUUGGGCUGCACACGUACUACAAUGCCCAGUACAAUGAGAACCGAGACCGCGAGGUGGAGGAAAUCUAUAAAACUGGGCCCAGUUCGGAUUGGAGGCUGCAACUCGCCUCCAUGAAGUUGGAAUCGCUAGUAAUGGCGCAUCAUCUACGGCGCCGUGAAUACGUUCCCGGGUCUUGUACACACCGCCCGUCACAUCAUGGAAGCCGGUCGCACCCGAAGCGCAUGUACCAACCGCAAGGAGGUAGUGUUCUAAGGUGUAGCUGGUAACUGGGAUGAAGUCGUAACAAGGUAGCCG
rnacentral:rRNA from 1 species